CAGAAACAGAAGCUUUGCAUUUCACUUCUUCUGGGAGGGAUAAAGACACAUUUUACAAAAGAUUCAUCAACAAGGAGAAAGGACCAACUCCAUUCAUCGCAUAGCAGUCCACAACUACCAGAAAAGAUCUCACAGACAUCUCACAGAGUGUUAUCUGUAUUUACCCAGAAAUGACUGACACUCACCUGAGUCACAUUCCAGAGGAAUUAUGCAUUGGUGAAAUGAUCCAGUCAGAGCAGAAAAAUGUUCCAGGAGAACAAACAGAACAACACCAUGAAGUAAAAAACCAAGGACAAGAUACACAUACAGACAUACUCUGUUCAUCACAUACCAGUACACAAACAACAGAUGAGAUGGAUAACUUAGAGAGUAUACUCAGUAUUCACCAAGAAAUGACUGACACUAACCUGAGGGAUGAGUAUUUAUAAACAUGUUGCAGCUCAAGAGGAGUAUUGCGACUCAGAUGCAGAUGUCCAGUCUGUGCAGAGUACUACCACAUGUCAAGAAGGCAAGAUCUUAGGUUGCAUGCAGUGUAUAACACUAACAAUGUAAAUUACUUUAUUCAACUAUAAAAAUUGCUGUCUGUGUUAUUUCAGCGCGAACAAAUUCUGAAGAAAAUGCAUCCAAUUCAACAAAAAAAUUGUUGGCAAGAAAUAAUCACUGCCAUCAGUUGACAUGAGUAUGAUAUCACUCUAAAAAUUUCAUUGCAUGUAGUGAGGAAUGUUAGAAAAUAAAUCACUUUCAACCACAACAUUUUUCCCCUCUGUUUUUUAAGGACACUUGGAGGAAGCACAUUCUGAAGAAAAUGCAUCUACUUUAACAAAGAAAAUUUGUGGCACAAAGAAACCCUCAUUGCCAUCAGUUCAAAACGUACACUCAGAGGAAGAACCUCCUGAAGAAGGGGCAGCCAUUUCUAAAAACAAAAUGGGUGGCAUUAAUAAAUCCUCAUUGCAAUCAAUUAAAAAAGGAAAAUCCAGAAGGCCCUGGUCAAAGACUGAGGGAGACAUUGUUGAAAGCCAUUUCAAAGACUUCCUGAAA